rnacentral:piRNA from 1 species
UGGGCCUUUAAUAACCUUUUUUGCAGGCU